UCCGAGUUGUCCCCGGCAGUCCUUUUAGAGUCCCCGGCAUUACCCGCUGGCAACUAAAAGCAGGGGUUGCGCUCGUUGCGGCACUUAAGCCAACACCUCACGGCACGAGCUGACGACAGCCAUGCAGCACCUGUGCUAGCCCCUUACGGACACGGGCUUUCACCCGCUUUAACUAGCAUGUCAAGCCUAGGUAAGGUGGGGAUGACGUCGUAUCUCACUG
rnacentral:misc_RNA from 1 species